rnacentral:misc_RNA from 1 species
UACGGAGGGGGUUAGCGUUGUUCGGAAUUACUGGGCGGAAAGCGUACGUAGGCGGAUUAGAAAGUUGGGGGUGAAAUCCCAGGGCUCAACCCUGGAACUGCCUCCAAAACUACUAGUCUAGAGUUCAAGAGAGGUGAGUGGAAUUCCAAGUGUAGAGGUGAAAUUCGUAGAUAUUCGGAGGAACACCAGUGGCGAAGGCGGCUCACUGGCUCGAUACUGACGCUGAGGUGCGAAAGUGUGGGGAGCAAACAGG